rnacentral:rRNA from 1 species
UCUUCUUGAAAAGAUUGGAAGUCGGGCCUGUCCCCUGAUUUAUAAUUUAAGGACCGCGGUAUUUUUGACCGUGCAAAGGUAGCAUAAUCAUUAGUCUUUUAAUUGAGGGCUGGAAUGAAUGGUUUAACGAAAUAAUAUCUGUCUCGAUAUAAAUAAUUGAAUUUUACUUUUAAGUUAAAAGGCUUAAAUGUUGAUAAGGGACGAGAAGACCCUAUAGAUCUUUAUAAUUUAUUAUAUUUUUAAUAAAUAUAGUUAUUUGCAUUAUUAUAUAAUAAAUUAUUUUAUUGGGGUGAUACGAGAAUAUAUUAGCUUCUUGAUUUUUAACUUAGAUUUAAGAUUAUAUAAUCCUUUAUUAUGGAAUUAAGAUUAAGAUACCUUAGGGAUAACAGCGUAAUCUUGUUGGAAAGUUCUUAUUGAUAAUAAGGAUUGCGACCUCGAUGUUGGAUUAAGAAUAUAAAUUGAUGUAGAUGUUAAUAUUAUUGGUCUGUUC